AUAAUUGUUAGCAGCCAUUUUUGUCCUAAGCAAAAGAGAUAUCUUCUCCCAACGAGACUGACUACAAAAAGAAAAAAGAUAACUAAGUUAAAAACAGUCGGACUGAAGCCAUGUUACCUGGACCCGUUACCAAGUAACAAGGGAACCAAGCAACUAUUUAGAGAAUUGAACUCUGCUCUGCUUGGGGAGGCCAGGAGUGCGUUCAAUGAGGUUAAACGUUCAGAAUGUUGCAGCAUUUUGAACAAACCACCUGUUGGCUCAUGGGACUCUCUCACAAGUUGUUCUCUGUGAACUUGGAUCCUUUCUAUCAGAUGACUUCGGCAUUGUUGGCAGCAGCAGCCAUGUCCCUGUCCUACGUGAGACUCAACAACACGACAGACGCUAUAGUGACCCUGGAGCUCAACAGUAGCUUAAUGUGGCCCCCUGGGAACGAAACAGAUGAGACACGAGGGCUGCAAAGGAAGGGUAUAUUACUGGAAACUUUUGAAGUUUACCGGUAAACUACCAGAAUUUUGGAAUCUUUCAAAGGACUUUUACUUCAGAUUAUCACAGUUCUCUGUUAUUAUCUGUGGC
rnacentral:lncRNA from 1 species